CCAUUAUUACUMAAAUGACUYUCGGCAACGGAUAUYUCGGCUCUUGCAUCGAUGAAGAACGUAGCGAAAUGCGAUACUUGGUGUGAAUUGCAGAAUCCCGUGAACCAUCGAGUUUUUGAACGCAAGUUGCGCCCGAGACCUUUAGGUUGAGGGCACGUCUGCCUGGGCGUCACACAC
rnacentral:rRNA from 1 species